AAUUUAGGUUCUGUUUUUAACGCCGUCGCAAUCUGGCUCUCCUUCGUUACUCAUUCAUUGCAUCUUAUCUUCUAGCACCAUCCGCCGCCACCACGCGCUUUCUUUCUCAAUAAUUUCCUUCGCAAUCUUCACCGGUGAGCCUUUCCAAUUCUGAUAAAGCACGCGCGAUAGCGGUGGGAGAUAGAUCGAAGAGAUAGCGCGCUGAUUGUUUUUUAGGGUUCUGUAUCCUUUUCCCGAUUUUGUUUGAUUCUAUUGUCCUUCAAUUUUCUUCUGAGUCGGGAAGUAGAAAGGGGGGGAUUCGUUUGGUUGUGCGUUGUAUACUUUGCUAUUUUCUAGUUCCCGCUGCAUCAAAUCCUAAUUCCGAAUUCCGAUUGCGGAAUCCGAGGAAAGGGAAAAUUGGAUCGAUUUGCUUCGUGCAAAUUAGGUUUUGGUUUCUUUUCUCAAUUUGAAGAAAUUUGGAUAGAUCGGGCCUGGGUGAGUCGAGGAAAAUUCGUUUACGAAAGCAAUUUUAGGGGACUUCUGUCAGGUCUAGGCUUUUUUUUUUCCAUUCUAGCGGAUUAUUAAUUAGAAUCAUGGCCGCUGGAAGGCACGGGGGUUAUAGAGACAAUGAAUUCAGGGACCGUGAGACAGAUUAUGGAACAUCGAGGAAGGAUAUUGGCUCUUUAAAUGGAGAAUAUGAGCGGGGAAGGAAAGGUAGUCGAGAUUUUGAUAGGAGUCAGAUCCGUGGUCGAGGCAGUCUCGAGUAUCAGGAUAGGGUCAGGCGAAGAGAUGUAGGAGGAAGGGAGAUGAGGAAUGGUGGACAUCGCUCUACUUCUAGCAGGAGUGAUUCAGGAAGUAGUGGUGGCGGGCCUAGGAGGUGUGGGUAUGCAGUUCGCCCCGUGGAUCGAGAACCCGGGGAACUGUCUAGUGAUGGAUCUGAUGGUGCUACUGAGGCUGAAAUUCAAUGUAAUAAAGAAACUGAUGUUACAAUAUUGGAUAGUGGGAGACAGUUGUCACCCAUUCCAAAUAAGAAGAGGAAGUUUUCCCCAAUUGUUUGGGACAGAGAUGAUAAGGAUGCCACUCGAACAAUCAGAAGCACGAAAGUGUUGGAAAGUAGUAACUUGCCGCCACUACCACCACCUCCUCCUCCUCCUUUGCCUGUUCCCCUUAAGUCUAACUCUAUUCAUGACGAUGCGGAACAGAAUUCACUGGUUGAAGACAAUGGUGUGCAUGUUUCGGGGGCCCCACCUUCGGACAUUGAUUCGCUGCCGUAUGUGUCAGAAUUGCCUGGCAUGACAGAUUCUUCAGUACCCAAAGAAGAAGACAGGGUCAAUGACAUGAUAGCAGAGACAAAUGAUGAAAAUGACUAUGUUCCACGGACUAUAACAUCAUCCCGAUGGGCAAAUGAUGCUGAGUCACCAUCUGACGAAGGUGAGAUUUCUGAUUAUGAAGACAGCUGGAAGAUGAAGAGGAAGUCUCAAUCUGAAUCAGCUGAAGCAAAGGUAGGCAGGAAGUCAAUUAGUCCUGGGCUUGGAGAAUAUUCUGAAGGAACAAAGGUACGGUCAUUGGGUUCAGAUGAACGUGUAAGGUCUUCCAGUAGAGAUAGUUACAAUGACACUGUUGAUAAGAAUGACUACAUGGAAGUAGAUGAUGAUCAGAAUAUUGUUUGUAGUGAUGCUAGCCAUUCUGGCACCGAGUCAGAGGAUGAUGUUGGCUCUCAUGGCACACCAGAACAAGUCCAUCCUCCACAGAGGAGCUUCAAUAUGCUUCAUGGUUGCAGAAGUGUUGAUGAGUUUGAACGACUGAAUAGGAUUGAUGAAGGAACAUAUGGGAUUGUUUUCAGAGCCAAGGACAAGAAAACUGGAGAAGUUGUGGCUCUGAAGAAGGUCAAGAUGGAUAGGGAGAGAGAAGGGUUUCCUUUGACUUCUCUUAGAGAAAUAAAUAUUCUUCUUUCUAUUCAUCACCCAUCCAUUGUGGAUGUUAAAGAAGUUGUUGUGGGGAGCAACCUUGACAGUAUAUAUAUGGUCAUGGAGUACAUGGAACAUGACCUCAAAGGAUUGAUGGAGACAAUGAAACAACCUUAUAGUCAGAGUGAGGUUAAAUGCUUGAUGCUUCAGCUUUUAGAGGGCAUCAAGUAUCUUCAUGAUAAUUGGGUCCUGCACCGUGAUCUGAAAACUUCAAAUCUUCUUUUGAAUAACUGUGGUGAUUUGAAGAUCUGUGACUUUGGACUGGCCCGUCAAUAUGGAAGUCCUUUGAAACCAUAUACUUCCCUGGUUGUGACUUUGUGGUACAGGGCACCAGAACUUCUAUUAGGAGCGAAACAGUACUCCACGGCAAUUGAUAUGUGGUCGUUAGGGUGUAUAAUGGCUGAGCUAUUGUCUAAAGAACCUUUGUUCAAUGGGAAGUCAGAGGUUGAGCAGCUUGACAAGAUAUUCAAGGUUCUUGGAACUCCCAAUGAGACGAUAUGGCCUGGGCUUUCUGACCUCCCUGGUGCGAAGGUGAACUUCGCCAAGCACAAGUACAACCUUUUGCGCAAGAAAUUUCCUGCGACAUCUUUUACAGGGACACCUGUACUAUCUGAUGCUGGAUUUGACCUUUUGAACAUGCUUCUAACUUAUGACCCUGAGAAGAGGAUAACUGCGGACGCUGCUCUCAACCACGAAUGGUUUCACGAAGUCCCGUUACCUAAGUCUAAGGAAUUUAUGCCUACUUUUCCUGCUCAACAUGCACAAGACAGGCGCAUGAGAAGAGUAAUGAAGAGUCCAGACCCACUAGAGGAGCUGAAGAGGAAGGAAAAACAAGGGGAACUAGGAACUGGUGGUUUAUUUGGCCAAUAACUUCCAUUUUAUUAUUAGUUUGGGUUCACCCAUAAACGGACAUGAUUGAGGUGAGAGCAAAAAGGGAGUUGCAAACAUUGAUUGUGAGACUAUCACUCGUGCUGUUUUUUAUCAGGCACAUGAUGCCGUAGUGGGGAAACUGUCUGGCCUGUACUUGUGAAUCCUAUGUUGCAGGCUGGAUUUUCUUAUUGGGGUUGGCUGACAAUUUGGAUCCAGCUUUGGUGCUUACCCAAAAAGAGGUGGUGAUGUAAAGUGGAUGGGAGAUUCUUAGCUUUUCAUUGCCGAAGAAUUUGACCCUAAGUUUACCACUCUGGAGGUAAAUAUUAGAACCAAUUAUAUGGAUGUAUUUGAGGAUUGGAAUUUGGUUUAUACACAUGCAAUGGUGUUAUCCCAUCUUGGAUCUUUUAUGAUAUUACAAGCUGUAGAUUAACUGCUCGUCAUUGUGUUUCAUCUGAUGCUAUGGAGCAUGCUUAUAACACUAAGAGGAGAAAGAACAGCUCACACUAACAUGCUUUCUCUUUAAUAUUUUUGCUUAUUUGUGUUCUUGAUGCUUCUUAGGUCACAGUCCUGUACUAAUAAAUUGCAUGUAUUUUUUUUCCGGAAUAGAUAGUUUUUUUUGACUGCCAAAUAGUCUGAAAUGGCCAUAGCUAACCCUUUCUGCUUAGAGAUGCUUAUUUGUUGCAGCAGUCUGAAAUCUGGUGCUAUAAUUGUCUUAGUCUUUUCCUUAUUGGUGGUUUUCUAUGUUCUUGACUUCUUGCUAGUGGAUAUUAUCAGUUCAUGUGCUGGUGGGCACAAGGAUUGGAACACUAUUUUUUUGAGGUUCAAAAUCGAUUGUCAGUGGCUAAGUUGAUUAAGUUUUCUUUGAGUAAUCAUCAUGGUUCUUUUGUUGCCGAAGAAUUUUCUCUCUCCGUAUUACAAGUUUAAUAUUAUUCGUAAUCUUCACAUGCAUGUCCAUUGUACCAUCAAUAUAAGGGAUUUGUGAUCCUUCCAAGUUAAAUCUAUAUGAUUGUUUACAAAAAUUUUUAUCUUCAAAUUUAGACAUUUUAUUGGUCAUUGCUGUAAGGAUAGCCAGCAGUCUUGCAUAACCUAUUUUUACACCUAAUAUUGACGUACCUUUUUCCUUAUUUUUGUACCUUGUUCAGAAUAUUUAAUUUAUCUUGCCCCACAUUGUAGCACCACCAAUAGCGUGCGACAUUGACAUUUGACCCUUUAUAACAUUCAUCUGAAAUGUGACUGCAGUAUUCAAGCAAGCACGCCCGUGAGUUCAGUUACGUAGGUUGGCCCUCUAAAUUGUCAAAAUUAUUUUCUGUCAUACGUUUGUACUGAAGCUCUAGAGGUACACAACAACUUUAUUGUUCUAUUAAAUUAUCUAAGCUACUAUUAUGCACCUCAGCGAAGGUUCUAUGAUAUAUCCUUGCUGACACCAGCAGAAAAAAGUAUCCUUCCAGCAAUUUAAUUUUAAGCAGUCAAUUUACAUGCGACUGAUAGGCAUAAAUACUACGACUACUAUUUGUUGUUUCUUUUCUCCUGUGUAGCUGUUAAUAGGCAAGAGCAUAUGUUGAGCAUCUUAGUUCCAAUCAGCUUUGCCAUUAUUGUUAACACCAGUUUCUUUUUGGUUAUGGCUAGACUCUUAUACAUUUUUAUCCAUGUCGAUGACCGUAUCUGUGAUUGAGUUCAUUUUGCAGCCGGGUUGGGUUAACUUGGAGGAAGUUGUUUCUGAUUACCAUUAACCUAUUGGAUUAUACUUUCCAUUAACAGUAGUGAUCAUACGUGCCUAUUGUGGCAGGUAUUCUUGUCCUUGCUAAGUUGGGAUGCAGGUAUCAAGGUUUUGUGCUUUACAGAUAAGCCAGUACUAACUUGUUAUUGAUUAAUCUAGUUCCUGUGUCUGUGUUGUCCGGAUAAAUUAUUGUGGGUGUGCUUUUGCCGCUUAACAAUGUUGACCAAAGAGUUGUUAAGUUCUUAACCUUUGAACGUCCGAAUUGUCAUCCACCCUAAACACAUGAUUCAUCAGGUAGUAAAAUCGUAUGUCACUUAACAAGGUAAAGAAUGUCUUCUUUCCAAUGUUUAGUUUCAUAACUGGUAUAGUAGUAAUUUAAUGACAGAAAUACUUGCUCUGAACUGCAUAGGAAUAGAUUACUUUUUUCGCGCUUGAUAUACAUAGUGCAGAAGGGAACUAAUUUUAGAGUUAUUGGGUAUUUGCUGUGUUAAAUGGAUUGCUAAUAAUCGCAGAAUUUAUUGUUGACAAGUAAAAAGUUACACAGGCUUAUAAAGCAAGGUGAGGCGAUGAAACUCUUCAUCCUACUUGUCAGUUGGUAAUGGAAGCUGGUCUACUUUUUGAUAACUUGACCUUUGUACAGCUAUUUGUGGUCAUUUCACAUUUAUGUGACAAAAGUUCACUGGUGGGAGAGAUUGAAUUUGAAAGAAGUAGCAGAUUAUGCUGCAAAGCUGGGUUGUUGGAGUGGCCGUUUUUCGUGACCUUUUACUCCUUUUUCUCUUGGCAUUGCAUCCCUCCCUCUCUCUCUUUUUUUUGUUCCUUCAAUACCAAUAUUGGUUCUCGAUGAAACUGGAUUCUCUUCCUUUUAGGAAAUAUCUCUUCCGUCUACUUUUGUCAAUCCCAUUACAGUUGAGUUAUAUCCUUCUAUAGAAAAAUGCUAAGAGUAUUGGUAUUUUAUUUAUAUACUCCAUAAUUAGCUAGCCUAACUAUGUCAACAAUCUAAUUUCUUUAAUUAAUGUUUUUAACAUCA